rnacentral:rRNA from 1 species
UACGAAGGGGGCUAGCGUUGCUCGGAAUUACUGGGCGUAAAGCGCACGUAGGCGGAUUGUUAAGUCGGGGGUGAAAUCCUGGAGCUCAACUCCAGAACUGCCUUCGAUACUGGCGAUCUCGAGUUCGGGAGAGGUGAGUGGAACUGCGAGUGUAGAGGUGAAAUGCGCAGAUAUCAGGAAGAACACCAAUGGCGAAAGCAGCUCUCUGGGACGGUACUGACGCUGAGACGCGAAAGCGUGGGGAGCGAACAGG